rnacentral:rRNA from 1 species
AUUGAACGCUGGCGGCAUGCUUUACACAUGCCAGUCGAACGGUAACAGGCCGCAAGGUGCUGACGAGUGGCGAACGGGUGAGUAAUGCAUCGGAACGUGCCCAGUCGUGGGGGAUAACUACUCGAAAGAGUAGCUAAUACCGCAUACGAUCUAUGGAUGAAAGCGGGGGACCGUAAGGCCUCGCGCGAUUGGAGCGGCCGAUGUCAGAUUAGGUAGUUGGUGGGGUAAAGGCUCACCAAGCCAACGAUCUGUAGCUGGUCUGAGAGGACGACCAGCCAUACUGGGACUGAGACACGGCCCAGACUCCUACGGGAGGCAGCAGUGGGGAAUUUUGGACAAUGGGCGCAAGCCUGAUCCAGCAAUGCCGCGUGCAGGAAGAAGGCCUUCGGGUUGUAAACUGCUUUUGUACGGGACGAAACGGCUCUGGUUAAUACCCGGGGCUAAUGACGGUACCGUAAGAAUAAGCACCGGCUAACUACGU